AUGAAAAGUGUGGUUCGUCCACCGAAGACGUGGAGCUGGCCAUCGUGCCCUGCUUCCAGUGCAACUCUCUCUGGUCCUUGGCAAGGCUGUCUUCACUCUCUCUUCACUCUCUCGGGACACAUGAUCAGGGACAACGAUAGACAUUUCCACCCUUGGCCCCGGCUCAGGCACUCGUAGCGGCCCUGCCUGCUCUCCCGACGAGGUGGGAGCAAAGGAGAUAGCGACGACGAUCUGCUGGACACAGAGACGGGGCCUCUCAAGCCCUCUUCCACAAGAAGAAGAGUCACAGCCCCGCCUGCCCAGUGCAUCCCAAGUGCCCCCUCGGUUCCCAGCAUUCCUCUGUGAAUACCUGAUCACCCUAGAAGUGCAGCAGAGGUUAACCAAGGGCGCCAAGGAGAGCGCCGCGACCGGAGUCGGGUCUGCAGCUCCAGGUCAGGCUUACUCAGGGGGGCUAUUUAGGAGUCAAUAAGGGCUACUAAACACCCACUUCUGUGCCGGGCACCGUGCUAAACACGGGUAAGACACAGACGCCUAAAACUGAAUUUACCGGGCAGUGCAGAUGAAUCCUCCUUAGCAGCCAUUAGCUGAUAGUCUUCAUGAGUUUCCGUGGCCAGAAAACCCCCGCUCUGUGGCUGUCCUGGCUAGAAGGGGGUCUCUGCAUUGAAGGAGGCUGCAUUUUAAGCGAGAGAGAAGCCAUCCAGAAAGUCUUUCCCUUACAGUAGGUCUUGGUAAAGGGGU
rnacentral:lncRNA from 1 species